UUAGCUCAUCAUGGCCAGUCUGGCCAUAUCACCUCCACAUUCCAGUUCAAGUGACAGAUCUAGACAAGAAUUACAGUUGUCUCUGCAAAAGUUACUAGCAGAAACAGGCAAUUCAGGGGAACAGUACCUUGAUCAUGGUGCAGCAGACGGUCAUGUUUCCUAUCACAAACAAUUCAUGACAGCGAAAGACAGAAUUCUAAGACAUAAUAUACAGGCUGAAAUGUAUGAGGACACUAAUCAGGAUGAGGAAAAUGCACAAGAAGACUAUGGAAUUUAUGGUGAUGAUGAUGACGAUGAUGAUUACGAAAAUGAUGCUGAUUUUGAUCAUGAUGUUAAGCCCAUGAAGCUUUUGCAAGAUUCUCAUAGACCAAAAAUAAUGGUUCCAAAGUGGCGGCAGAAUGCUUCCCCACAACCUCCGAGUUAUACACGCAGUGUUACUCAUAUCAGCAAACAGCAGACUGGUUCUACAUCUGAGGAAAACUUGGCAGCUUCCUUAGCUCAAAGUUUAUUUGAUGAUAAAAAACAGAGUACCCUUCCAAGAGACAAAAAAUCCAGAACUAAUCCAAAAAAUAUAAAGGAUAAUGCAGCAGACAAAGUGCAAACUAAUGGAAGUCUUAAAAGGAAAGUUCCCAGAGCAGAGUCCCCUAGAAAAUCACCGGCCCGACAGAGUCCAAUUCCAACAGCUGCACAAAGUCUUCCACAUGGAAAAUCAAUGUCUUUUGAUGCUUCACCAAACAGACCAAGUAAUUUAAAUUUAUCUAACACUAACACUCAAGGAAAAACAUGUGUUAGUCAGGGAGGUGUUGUCUCAACCCAAGUCAUUGCACCUCAAAGUCCUGCAAGUCCUGAACCAUCUGCUAUGGCAAGACCAAACUCAUUCACAAAAUUGACUGAUGUAAUAGCUUAUACAGCUGAUUGUCUGGAAAAAGGUGAUACUCAAACUGCUGAAGCAGGAGACAAUAAUUCUGUUAGUAAAGUAAAAUCUGAAAAUGAAACUGAAGGUGUAAAUUCAGGAAAAUUAACAAAAUUGGAUAUUCUAGCAGAUGAGAAUAUGAAAGUGUCGUCUGUUGAUAACUCUGUUACAUCUGCCAGUCAGAAUGGUAAAAAAGCCAGUAAUGAAAGCCAAACAAACUCAAAACUCUCAUUUGCUACUUCACCAGUUGAGCCAAGGGAGAGCACAAGUCCAGUAAAUACUGACAAUGUUGUAUACUAUUUCCAAAACCGCAAUAAAAUUAAUCAGGGUAAUACAGCUGACACAUCCAAUGCCACAAAAUCACGUCUUCCAACUUUUGCCAGUAUGGAAAAAACCUCCACUCCUGUUAAGGAACAAAAGCAUUUUCAACCAGUCACAAGUGUGUCUCCAACAACUGAUACAUUCAGUAGUUUCACUGGUACUAAAAAAGAAAGCGGAAGAUUUGUUCGCGGAGAUGAAGUUAAUAGUGAAAAUAAAGUGAAUGAGAAGAAUAAAAAUACAUCUGAAACUGAUGACAAUGAUGUGAAAGAUGAUUCAGAAGGAGCUACAAAGGAAAGAGUGUUAAGAGCUGUGGAUAAACUGAGAUUAAGUUUUGAACGUAAGAAACAAAUAAGUGAAGAAAGAAGACAGUUAAGAACUGAAGUGUCUUCACCUACAAAUGCAAGCAUACAAAAACAGUUUAAUGAAAUAAAUGUUGUAGCAAAGAAAGGCGAAACAAAACCAGUAGUUCUCAGAACAUUUUCCUCCCCAACAAACCAAGUUGUUGUCAAUUCUCCUGUAGAUUCUAAUGAACCAGUGCUAAAUGGUGAACCAGUUGAACAAAAGCAAGGUCUGUAUCGAAAAGCAGGCUCCUCAAAAACACCAUCCAAGUUUCAGUCGGAUUCGUCUGCUUCAGCUAGACAAAUACAGAAACUUGAGAGGGCAACAAGUCCAACAGCAAGAUCUACAAGCCCAACUAUGAGCCCUUAUGAAAAAUUUAAAAGCCAGGUGGAAAAUUCUAAUUUAGCGAAACCUGCAAGAAGAGGAACGAGUCCCCAGAGGAAUUCUGCAGAGGUGUCAUUAAUACCUAAAAGGUCCAAAAGUCCUACAAGAGCCUCUGUGGAGAGAGAGCGGCCUAAAUCAACAAAUGACCUUGGUGCUGCUUUAGCAGCAGAGAGUGAUGGCUCUAGCACACCAAUGAAAAGUGCUAUGAAGGAAACAAAAAUACCAGUACUGAAAAAGUCGGGUGCAGCAUUAUCUAAAUCAUCAGAAGAUGUAUCAAAGAUUAAAAAGAAGUCACAUUUCAAAGACCAAUUAAAGAAUAUUUUUGGAAGGAAAAAGUAAACCGCAGAUAUCAAUGAAUCGACCACAGUUGACCACACCUCCAUAUAAGGCAGAAGAAAUCGAAAUUGUAUAGUUACAAUGGUUACGACCCUGAUGAGGAAUACAAUAAUCAUGUUACCAUA
rnacentral:misc_RNA from 1 species